AUUGAACGCUGGCGGCAGGCUUAACACAUGCAAGUCGGACGAAUGGCGGACGGGUGAGUAAUGCGUGGGAAUCUAGCUUAUGGAGGGGGAUAACUACGGGAAACUGUAGCUAAUACCGCGUACUAUAGGAUGAGCCCAAGUGGGAUUAGGUAGUUGGUGAGGUAAAGGCUCACCAAGCCGACGAUCUCUAGCUGGUCUGAGAGGAUGACCAGCGACAGUGGAACUGAGAAAAGGCCCAGACGAGUACGAGAGUGACCAAUUGGGAAGGGGGCGCAACGGGGGAAGACUGACGCCGCGCUGCCGCGUGAAGUAGGAGGUCCAUCGUGUUUCAUAGUUCUUUUGGUUGUUAGGCGUUAGAUACAGAAGAAGAACCGGCUAAUUCCGUGCUAGCAGCCGCGGUAAUUC
rnacentral:rRNA from 1 species